rnacentral:rRNA from 1 species
GAUGAACGCUAGCGGGAGGCCUAACACAUGCAAGCCGAGCGGUAGAUCUUCUUCGGAAGAUUGAGAGCGGCGCACGGGUGCGGAACACGUGUGCAACCUGCCUUUAUCUGGAAGAUAGCCCACCGAAAGGUGGAUUAAUAUUCCAUAAUAUAUUGAUUGGCAUCAGUUAAUAUUGAAAGCUCCGGCGGAUAAAGAUGGGCACGCGCAAGGUUAGAUAGUUGGUGAGGUAACGGCUCACCAAGUCUGCGAUCUUUAGGGGGCCUGAGAGGGUGAUCCCCCACACUGGUACUGAGACACGGACCAGACUCCUACGGGAGGCAGCAGUGAGGAAUAUUGGACAAUGGGUGCAAGCCUGAUCCAGCCAUCCCGCGUGAAGGAUUAAGGUCCUAUGGAUUGUAAACUUCUUUUCUACAGGGAUAAACCUAUUUACGUGUAAAUAGCUGAAGGUACUGUAGGAAUAAGCACCGGCUAACUCCGUGCCAGCCGCCGCGUAAAAC